CAAUAGCGUAUACUAAAGUUGUUGCAGUUAAAAAGCUCGUAGUUGAAUUUCUGGAUGUGAAAGGUGGUCGGCACCUCACGGUGUCUGCACCUACCAUUCGCGUCCAUCCUCGGGAGGAACAUGUGGACACUUUAGUGGGUCUGCAUGGGAAUCUCGUCAUUUACUGUGAGCAAAAUAGAGUGUUCAAAGCAGGCUUACGCCGUUGAAUAUAUUAGCAUGGAAUAAUAAGAUACGACUUUGGUCUAUUUUGUUGGUUUGCAUUCCAAAGUAAUGAUUAAUAGGGAAAGUUGGGGGUAUUCGUAUUCAAUUGUCAGAGGUGAAAUUCUUGGAUUUAUGGAAGACGAACUACUGCGAAAGCAUUUACCAAGGAUGUUUUCAUUA
rnacentral:rRNA from 1 species